rnacentral:rRNA from 1 species
UACGUAGGGUGCAAGCGUUUGUCCGGAAUUAUUGGGCGUAAAGAGCUCGUAGGCGGUCUGUCGCGUCGGAUGUGAAAAUCCAGGGCUCAACCCUGGACCUGCAUUCGAUACGGGCAGACUAGAGUUCGGUAGGGGAGACGUGGAAUUCCUGGUGUAGCGGUGAAAUGCGCAGAUAUCAGGAGGAACACCGGUGGCGAAGGCGGGGUCUCUGGGGCCGAAACUGACGCUGAGGAGCGAAAGCGUGGGGAGCAAAAGGG